rnacentral:rRNA from 1 species
GAUGAACGCUGGCGGCGUGCUUAACACAUGCAAGUCGAACGAAGCAGAUUGAGAUCUUCGGAAGGAUAUCUGACUGAGUGGCGGACGGGUGAGUAACGCGUGGGUAACCUGCCUCAUACAGGGGGAUAACAGUUAGAAAUGACUGCUAAUACCGCAUAAGCGCACAGUACCGCAUGGUACGGUGUGAAAAACUCCGGUGGUAUGAGAUGGACCCGCGUCUGAUUAGCUAGUUGGUGGGGUAACGGCCUACCAAGGCGACGAUCAGUAGCCGACCUGAGAGGGUGACCGGCCACAUUGGGACUGAGACACGGCCCAAACUCCUACGGGAGGCAGCAGUGGGGAAUAUUGCACAAUGGGCGAAAGCCUGAUGCAGCGACGCCGCGUGAGUGAAGAAGUAUUUCGGUAUGUAAAGCUCUAUCAGCAGGGAAGAAAAUGACGGUACCUGACUAAGAAGCACCGGCUAAAUACGUGCCAGCAGCCGCCGUAAGAC